UUUGUUUUGUGGUAAAAGGGGAGUAGAAUUGUUUGCACCAGUAUUGGUCCUGAAGCAGUAUUUCUGGUAUCCGGCCUUGAAGCAGCAUUUCUGGUAUCCGGCUGGCUCUGAGGCGUCAUAUCUGAUAUCCGUCUCUGAAAAAAAAGAUAAAUAUUUUACGGGCUACGACGUAGUGUUUCUGGUAUCCGUCCCUAAAACAAUAUUUUUGAUAUCCGGCUCUGUGGUGCGAAAUUGGUGUAUCAAUAGUUGCCCCUCUUUGAGAAAAAACCGCUUGUGGUUUAUGAACAAAGCCAAGAGCCCGAUUUCGCACCAAUACUCUUGUUUGUCUCUCAAAAUGAUUUGACAAAUUGAUAAAGGGGUUCCGGCGUUGGCCAGGUUUCGUCCUGGUUGAGCUUUGUCGGUACCGUCUUAAACCAGGAGGUUUUGAAUCACGUGCUGUUGAUCUUCGUGUAUCCCCAUUUUGAGUUGUAUCUUCUCUCUUUCAAUGUUUUUUUAUUUUUAUUUUCAAAUUCUAUAGAGGUGUGUUUAUCUUACAAGCUUGUUGUUGAAGCUAUAAAUUCCUUUACAAUAUAGAGAAAGGAAAUUCUACCUCAUGUAAACAACCCUCCUUUUCUUUUUAUCAUUAUUUCUUCAGCAUGUCAUACCAACGUCCGAGAACCGUUCUAUCGAGAAUUCCACCUCUUCCAACUGUGGGUGAAAUGAGAAACGUGGGGCCUCUAACUGAUGUUGAGCAUCACAUUUCGUCAAAGAUCCGCGAUGACCCGGACUGCCAUUGGGUGUACUUCUGUGCUUCAAAUACUGGAGUGGCUGAAUGGUGGACAAUACUGAGAAGAUGCAGAGGUGUCCGUGAGAUUGUAAAAGGGACCGGCUGGUUUGACUUUAUCGAUGCUUUGAAACCAUUCCAUGACCGGGAGAAUGUAGCUGGUUAUUGUGGCCGAACGAUGGUGGAACGAUACCAACUCCUUUCAUCUUCCACACUGCGAGCUUACCAUCACUCCUUUGGAUUUUUAUAUGAUUACCGGACUAAGCGUGGGAAUAGGAGUCCCAGUGCCUUGGGAACUCGGGAUGACAGAGGAGAGGAUACGAUUGAUGUGAGGGCCGUGGUGCGGGAUGUAUUCUCUCAUAAGGAGAGGAUACUUUUCUUUCUUCGGCUAGUGGUCAACUCAAAUCGGGUUACCUGGCUGCCUUUGUUGAUCUGGAUUUGGUGGGAUUUUAUGAUUGGGGAAGUUGUGCGAUGGCACACCUUUGCAACUAUCUUUCUCGAGUAACUCGGUCCCGAACAAAAACUUUAUGCGGGUUUUGGCCUGUCCUGCAGAUCUGGUGUUAUGAAUAUAUCCAUGCUAGCCGCCCAGUCUUCAAUGAUGGUUAUUUCGAUUACCAAACAUUUCCUCGAAUGGACAGACGGAAUAAUACACAACGACAAAAUUCAUCAGCAUAUAUGCGCCUUUGUUUGGAUGAGACUACGAUUGAUUCCGUAAUAUACUGAUUUCCCUUUUUCUUUUUUUGAUUAUAUUCCUUUGUCUCAGAUUUGCUGGGACCCUUGCAGUAACUACCCGAUCGGUCAGGAUCAAAAAGCAAGUUAUGCCGCUGCGUGUAACCCACUAUGUUACCUGUUAAGAGGUCCGAAUUACUGUGCCUUGUAUCUUGGUGAUAGAUUUGGGCGAAAAAUCGGUCAGCCGGACGCUACGCCCCGCUUUCAUCCCCCUAAGAAGACAUGCUUCGAUAAUGCGUCAUUUUACGAGAUGGAUGGUAUGUCACGUGAACCGCAACUCUCUUAUGAAGACUCCGUUGAUCGCGGGUUGGAUUUUGACACGUAUUGGAGAACUGUUUCUCUUGGUCCACUUCAUCGCACUCGGGACAGUACCAAAAAUCGCGUGCUGGGUGGUCCUGAUUGUGCUUCUCGACCAUUAUCGAUGGGUCUUCUAGUACUUCUACUCAGCAUGCUUCACCACUUGAUUCUGGUCACUUGAUUCCUCCAUGGGGUUUCAAAGUAUCUAUCUUUGGCACUUCAAAUGUUAUUUCUUUUCAAGCCCAUUUGACAUUCAAGACGUCGUUGGCCUACCCCUUCCGGACGAUAUCCCUGAGGCUUACAAGGCUUUUAUCGAGUAUUUUCUUCAUUUAGUGGACAGCCGCGAAAGUCGAUUGAAGUCUGUAGUGAAUGAAAUGUCGGUAUCAUGAUGAAGUAUGAUAACAUCAGCAUGGAAUCCUUGAGGCAGCAAACACGCAUCGACUUUCUUUCUGAAGAAUUGUCUAUGCUUCAGAUGCGCUAUGAAGUAUGCCACCAUUUACAUUUUGUUGGAAAACAAUUAAUAAAAAAAUAAUUUUUUAAAGUUUUAAUAAAAAAUUAUA